AUGGGAUAGCCACUAGAAAUGGUGGGUAAUACUGUAUAAUCCCUGCGGGGGAAAGAUUUAUCGCUAUUAGAUGAGCCUAUGUUAGAUUAGCUAGUUGGUAGGGUAAAGGCCUACCAAGGCAGUGAUCUAUAGCUGGUCUGAGAGGAUGAUCAGCCACACUGGAACUGAGAUACGGUCCAGACUCCUACGGGAGGCAGCAGUGGGGAAUAUUGGACAAUGGGCGCAAGCCUGAUCCAGCUAUGCCGCAUGAGUGAGGAAGGCCUUAGGGUUGUAAAACUCUUUCAGUGGGGAAGAUAAUGACGGUACCCACAGAAGAAGUCCCGGCAAACUCCGUGCCAGCAGCCGCGGUAAUACGGAGGGGGCAAGCGUUGUUCGGAAUUAUUGGGCGUAAAGGGCAUGUAGGCGGUUCGGUAAGUUAAAGGUGAAAUGCCAGGGCUUAACCCUGGAGCUGCUUUUAAUACUGCCAGACUAGAGUCCGGGAGAGGAUAGCGGAAUUCCUAGUGUAGAGGUGAAAUUCGUAGAUAUUAGGAGGAGCACCAGUGGCGAAAGCGGCUGUCUGGUCCCGUACUGACGCUGAUGUGCGAAAGCCUGGGGACCAAACAGGAUUACAUACCCUGGUAGUCCACGCUGUAAACGA
rnacentral:rRNA from 1 species